CCAGGAUGGGGCCCUGGCAGCCCUGGCAGCGCGGGGCGAACAGCUGCAGGAAGUCCCGGCGGCAGUAGGGGCGGCCCUCGCGCUCGUGGAAACCUAGGAGCGGGAACCUAGUGGGCUGAGAGCAAAGGGCAUAAAAAACUAUUUUAAUGGACAAAGGGAUCCAUGAAGAUGAAAGUGCCUAUGAUCCACAAGAGUUACAAUGUCACCCUGCUUUGCUGAGAUGGGCAAUCCUACACUGGGAGUCAGGUACUUAAUCUAGCAGGAGGAACUAGGUUAACUGCUAUGCACAGCUGUUGUCAAUCACAUCUGCUCAGUCACUAAGCAAAGGACCAGCGACCCCAGUCCAGACUCUGAUGGAGGAAAACAGAGUCUUUGUAGAUGUGUGAGAGAUUGUGGGUGAAGCCACUGAGUGUUUUGUGAAGAUCAGAGGAGAUGUGGGUUUGUAAAAGAGAUGGCAUAGUGCCUGGCACACAGUAGGACCACAAUAAAUGGUAAAAUGGUUGGAAUUUUCA